rnacentral:tRNA from 1 species
GGUGCGUUAGUUCAGUUGGUUAGAAUGCCUGCCUGUCACGCAGGAGGUCA